CCACUGGGAGGGGUCAGUGAGAAUAAAAGCAGUGUGGUGCUGAGCUGCUGCCGGGUGACAGCACCGCAGUCAUUGUGGUGCCCAACGUGGGGCCCGAAGGGUGCAGAUCCCCACAGCUGUGAGCAGAGCGUGUUCCAACACAACUGCUCUCAGCAGUACAGCAGCCUCAGAGCUGCUGCUCACAGCGCUGAGCUGUUCCUUCCCUCUGGGCCAUCACAGCUCUCAGGGCUCUUUCCUUCCCUGCGCUGGCGCUGCUUCUCCUCUCCGAGGGCUGCCCUGCAAUUCUGGAUGCUUCUACCCUCUUGUCCAGUGAUUUUUUUUUUUCCUGGAUAUUUCAGCAGUGUUUUUGUUCCUUACUGCUUCCCCAGCAGCUCAGCACUGCAUUGCCUGAUGCAGUCACUGAACCCAGAGGUGAAUUUCCACCUCAAGGGGAGCAACCUAUGGCACCUACCAACUUGUGCUAAAGGGAAAGGCUGCUGCAUGUGUGUAUCUGUACCCCAAAUUGGAGAUUAGAAGAAGCAUAGCCCAGAUCAGAAGCCCAGCGGGUGCUAUUUCCUGGCACCGGAUGCAGAUACCGGCAGGUCUGUCACAAAGCAAGAAGUGGCUCUGGGGUUUGUCAUUUUGGGAACAGUCUUGUGAACUUGUGAUCUAUGGACGGGGAAAAUAGCAGCGUGGACUUCAGGCAUUCUGCAAGUGGUUUUUCUCCUGCUGAGAGGCACCAUGCUCCUUCCCCACGGGGAACCACUGCAGCAACUGGUUAGGAUCCACAGACCCCCAGAACUGGGGGAAACACAGCAGCCAUCAACUUCUGAAUCAACGUUGCGCGGGAACCACGAUGGAAGAUCUGUUUUUCAACAAAUGGGGACUCUUCCAGCUCCCACCCUCUGCCCACGCUGGCACCGGGUCUUCCUGAAAACCAGUGCUCUGGGGCUGCUGCUGCUACUGCUGACUGCGCUCGGCGUGCAGGAGUUUCCUGGAAAGCAACACCACAUCCAAGCACUCCCCAGCACAGCGCUGAGAUCCGGGGGAGGAAUGGGGUGGAGCCGUGUGUGACCUCUUCCCUUCUGCAAUAUCUUUACCGAUCCACCAGGGGCAGCAACCUGGAAGGACCACGGAGGAGCAGCUGCUGAGGGAAGCUUUAGAGAAGGAGCCUGGGAUGGGGGAUAGCACUGGAGGUUGUGGGGACGUAUGGGGGGGGAAUCUUGGGGAGCACAUUUUUGGGAGCACUCGACAGAUGUGAGGGGUGGGGAACAGAGAGGCAGUCUCCCUGGGGGUUCCCACAGGGCUGCGGUGUCACUGAGGGAAAUGUGGCUUUUCCUGAACCGCAGAUGUGUGCUAUGAGGAGAGGGGGGAGGACCUCAAAACUGGGGCAAAUGUAUUUAAAAAGGAGAUCCAUCGCUGUAGAGCACAAAGUAGGGCCCACAGCACACACUGCCCCAUAGAUUUGGUGACCCACACUCAACUAUGGACCCCCCCAAAACCAUGUCCCAUUGCUCACCUCACAAAGUUGGAGUCCCUUCAACCAACCACGACCCAUAGAUUUGGAGAUGCCACAAUCACCUGUGGAACUCCAAACGCUGCCCCACAGACCACCCCAUGGAUUUGGAGACAACGUGUGACACAUGAGGGGUGACAGCCUGUGUGGGGCACCCCAGUAAGGGCAGCGUGUGCCACUCCACAAGUUCCAUCCCAUUGUAGUCCACAUGGUGCAAAAACUAGGG
rnacentral:lncRNA from 7 species